rnacentral:rRNA from 1 species
GUACGGGAGGCAGCAGUCGGGGAAUUUUGGACAAUGGGGGCAACCCUGAUCCAGCAAUGCCGCGUGAGUGAAGAAGGCCUUCGGGUUGUAAAGCUCUUUUGUCAGGGAAGAAACGGUGUUUCCUAAUACGGAAUGCUAAUGACGGUACCUGAAGAAUAAGCACCGGCUAACUACGUGCCAGCAGCCGCGGUAAUACGUAGGGUGCAAGCGUUAAUCGGAAUUACUGGGCGUAAAGCGUGCGCAGGCGGUUUUAUAAGUCUGAUGUGAAAUCCCCGGGCUCAACCUGGGAACUGCAUUGGAGACUGUAAGGCUAGAGUGUGUCAGAGGGGGGUAGAAUUCCACGUGUAGCAGUGAAAUGCGUAGAUAUGUGGAGGAAUACCGAUGGCGAAGGCAGCCCCCUGGGAUAACACUGACGCUCAUGCACGAAAGCGUGGGGAGCAAACAGGAUUAGAUACCCGGGUAC